rnacentral:rRNA from 1 species
UACGUAGGGGGCAAGCGUUAUCCGGAUUUAUUGGGCGUAAAGAGCUCGUAGGCGGCCGUUCGCGUCGGAUGUGAAAGCUCAGGGCUCAACUCUGAGAUGCCAUUCGAUACGGGACGGCUAGAGGUAGGUAGGGGAGAGUGGAAUUCCUGGUGUAGCGGUGAAAUGCGCAGAUAUCAGGAGGAACACCGGUGGCGAAGGCGGCUCUCUGGGCCUUACCUGACGCUGAGGAGCGAAAGCUGGGGGAGCGAACAGG